GACGAACGCUGGCGGCGUGCUUAACACAUGCAAGUCGAACGGAAAGGCCCUGCUUUUGUGGGGUGCUCGAGUGGCGAACGGGUGAGUAACACGUGAGUAACCUGCCCUUGACUUUGGGAUAACUUCAGGAAACUGGGGCUAAUACCGGAUAGGAGCUCCUGCUGCAUGGUGGGGGUUGGAAAGUUUCGGCGGUUGGGGAUGGACUCGCGGCUUAUCAGCUUGUUGGUGGGGUAGUGGCUUACCAAGGCUUUGACGGGUAGCCGGCCUGAGAGGGUGACCGGCCACAUUGGGACUGAGAUACGGCCCAGACUCCUACGGGAGGCAGCAGUGGGGAAUAGUGGACAGUGGGCGGGAGCCUGAUGCAGCAACGCCGCGUGCGGGAUGACGGCCUUCGGGUUGUAAACCGCUUUCGCCUGUGACGAAGCGUGAGUGACGGUAAUGGAUAAAGAAGCACCGGCUAACUACGUG
rnacentral:rRNA from 1 species